rnacentral:rRNA from 1 species
ACGCUGGCGGUAGGCUUAACACAUGCAAGUCGAGCGAGAAAGUAUCUUCGGAUAUGAGUAGAGCGGCGGACGGGUGAGUAACGCGUAGGAAUCUACCUAGUAGAAGGGGAUAGCCCGGGGAAACUCGGAUUAAUACCGUAUACCUCCUAAGGGAGAAAGAGGGCCUCUCUUGAAGCUCUCGCUACUAGAUGAGCCUGCGUAAGAUUAGCUUGUUGGUAAGGUAAUGGCUUACCAAGGCUACGAUCUUUAGCUGGUCUGAGAGGACGAUCAGCCACAUUGGGACUGAGACACGGCCCAGACUCCUACGGGAGGCAGCAGUGGGGAAUAUUGGACAAUGGGCGCAAGCCUGAUCCAGCCAUACCGCGUGUGUGAAGAAGGCCUUCGGGUUGUAAAGCACUUUAAGCAGGGAGAAAAAGCAAUAAGUUAAUACCUUAUUGCCGUGAUGUUACCUGCAGAAUAAGCACCGGCUA